CGAAAGCUGUCCUCAUCUGUCUCUCUGCAUUUCUACCAUCAAAGAAGUAUUUCAGUGUGGCACAAAAACGCCCUUUAUUAUUUUAAGCAAAGCUAAAGUAAAAUAUUGAUUACUACAAUGAGAAGAAUGUGUACUUUUAAAACAUUGACUCAUGAGCGAGUUCUGAAGCAGAGUAGGAAUUUUAUCAAAGAUUAGACUACCUUUAAGCAGAGCACAGAGAAGUUCCCUGGUUUCUGACUUCCUUUUAAGCAGGGAUCCCAGUGUAGAUUGUGAUGUGUGUACAUAUGAAGAUUUAUUACUUAACACGGACUCUACCCAAGGUAUCAAGUGAAGCAAAAAACUGGAUUACCAAGAGCUCUG